AGCUCUCCUGUGGGAUCGGAACCGAUGGACUAGCCUUCGCUCCCCAUGCGCAUCAAUGAGCCUUGGGCACCAGUUCACCAGUUGACCUCCCUUGGACCAGUUUUGUAUGCAGCACUGGAUUUAAAGAUCUGACCAUGUGAGCAGCAAGAGCUACCGUUCCUUUACAGUAUGUCAAGGGAGCUGCAGCUGGUGGAGAACUUUCAACCACUGCUUUCACGGGGAAGUAUGUCGCAGCUGUCCCGAUGAAAGAUGGUUUUAUAAAGAGUUUUGAAAUUCAAGGUCACCCAUUUCCUGCUGGAGUGCCCCAUUGAAAGUGAAGUUAAUGGGCGCUGGAAAGAACUGGAGUGGAAACUGAAGACAGAAGGGCCCAGUUACAAGUAGUGCUACUGUCCACACAGAGAGGUCUUGUGUUGUCUGUUUUCCCAAAAAUUUGAAAUCUGUUUCCAUGGCAACGCUCUCCAUAUGUCUGGUUAGCCUCAUGGGCAAGGCCUCUCCAGUGAGGUUUGGGGAAAGUGCUUGUCCCACAAGUCAUUGGCAAUAGGCUGUGGAAUCACACUGCCUGGCGUUGCUAUAGAAACCAAGGUUUGCAAAAAUCACCACUGCCAAACCUCUCAAUCACUGUUUUGAAAACACAGAAGGUCUCUAACUUUCCAUCCUGGAGUCACAGGACUCCUCAUGGGAAUCUUUGCAGUCAGAUUUUCAUGAUCAAGAUUGAGCAGAUUAUCAUAAACUGGGGAUUUCCUGUGUCGAGUAUGAUUUGUCGAGUUUAUUGCCAACUUUCAGUUUUGAUGCCUAAGUUAUAAGAAGAUUAAAGACUAAGGCAGUCUGGAAUUUUAUGUUAUUUUUCAUAUGUUUAGACUUCCCCA